rnacentral:lncRNA from 1 species
AUCAGAGGUUAGCUCCUCUUGUGAACAAGUGAUUUCCCAGAACUAUGCAAGCAGACAGGACAUCAGUGACCUGCCCCUCCAAGACCCUGAGGAGAUAUGGUUCACUCAUGGAAGUAGCUUUUUCCAUCAAAAGAUGUCACCGUCUCCAGAGACCCACCCAGGACCCUGGGUCUUCUCCUACUCAUCCUCCUUGGACAACCUCAUCCACUGCUCCCUACACUCAGUGACUCUAGUCACCAUCUCUCUCUCUCUCUCUCUCUCUCUCUCUCUCUCUCUCUCUCUCUCUGGAGCUGUAGCCUCACAGUCUCUCUACCCUGGGAGUCUCAUGGCAACCUCAAACUCAGUCAUGUCCCAAACUGAGUCCCGCCCACCUGUCCAGGCCCACAAGAUCGACAGCAAGGGUGGAGCUGCCAUCUUGUAGUCACUGAGGGAAAAGCAGACAGAAUCCCAGAGCCUCUGUCCCAGACCAAUGUCAG